rnacentral:rRNA from 1 species
AUUGAACGCUGGCGGCAUGCCUUACACAUGCAAGUCGAACGGCAGCACGGGUGCUUGCACCUGGUGGCGAGUGGCGAACGGGUGAGUAAUACAUCGGAACAUGUCCUGUAGUGGGGGAUAGCCCGGCGAAAGCCGGAUUAAUACCGCAUACGAUCUACGGAUGAAAGCGGGGGACCUUCGGGCCUAGCGCUAUAGGGUUGGCCGAUGGCUGAUUAGCUAGUUGGUGGGGUAAAGGCCUACCAAGGCGACGAUCAGUAGCUGGUCUGAGAGGACGACCAGCCACACUGGGACUGAGACACGGCCCAGACUCCUACGGGAGGCAGCAGUGGGGAAUGUUGGACAAUGGGCGAAAGCCUGAUCCAGCAAUGCCGCGUGUGUGAAGAAGGCCUUCGGGUUGUAAAGCACUUUUGUCCGGAAAGAAAUCCUUGGCCCUAAUACGGUCGGGGGAUGACGGUACCGGAAGAAUAAGCACCGGCUAACUACGUG